AUAGGAAUACCUCUAGACUCAAGUGCCACCUACACUACUACGACCACCUCUCUACCAACAAUAGGCCAAUACUGAUGGAAGAAGAGAGGAAAAAAUCUAUCUAGUAUCGGGGCUUUAUCCUCUCCGAGAGACUAGAGGCCCCUUCGGACCUCCUCGAUGGACAAUGGAUGAGUUAGGUUCUCAUUCUCCUUAACAAGGAUACUGCACACUGGCGGGACCCCUGAGGG
rnacentral:lncRNA from 1 species